GUGCUUGCUUUAACAGCACAUAAACGAAAAACUGGAACAAUACGGAGAAUAUCAACAUGGUCCCUGCACAGGAAUAGCCUACAAUUAUGAAGGAGCCCAUAUUUUU